ensembl:snRNA U6 U6 spliceosomal RNA
GUGCUCCCUUGUGCAGCACUUACACUAGAAUUUGAACCAUACAGAGAUUAGCAUGACCUCUGUGCAAGGAUGAUGCAAAUUUCUGAAGCCUCUGCUUGUGUU